rnacentral:piRNA from 1 species
AGCCAUGGAUGAAAGAUGCACAGGUACAGC